AGGCACCUCGAGUGUUGAAAGUGUCGUCCGAUUGGAUGCUGCUGCCCUUUUGCUGCAAAAGGUUGAGAGGCCGUUCUAGGCUCUGCCUCCUCCAAGUCUUUGUUUCCUUUCCUUUUGUGGGUGUUGGUUUGAGUAUGGAUGUUUUCUUCACCCUCAUGGCUUGCUAUCUUUUUGGUAUGCACUUGAACUCUUUGCUAUCCUGCUAUUUCUUGGUGUGCUUUGGUUUGCAGGUGGUUCUUUUGACCGUGAAAAUGGUUUUUGUUACCACCGAAGGGAGGAAGUCUCCA
rnacentral:misc_RNA from 1 species